CCUAACACAUGCAAGUCGAGCGGUAGAGAGGUGCUUGCAUCUCUUGAGAGCGGCGGACGGGUGAGUAAUGCCGUAGGAAUCUGCUAGUGGUGGGGAUAACGUUCGGAAACGGACGCUAAUACCGCAUACGGUCCUACGGGAGAAAGCGGGGGAUCUUCGGACCUCGCGCCAUUAGAUGAGCCUAGGUCGGAUUAGCUAGUUGGUGAGGUAAUGGCUCACCAAGGCGACGAUCCGUAACUGGUCUGAGAGGAUGAUCAGUCACACUGGAACUGAGACACGGUCCAGACUCCUACGGGAGGCAGCAGUGGGGAAUAUUGGACAAUGGGCGAAAGCCUGAUCCAGCCAUGCCGCGUGUGUGAAGAAGGUCUUCGGAUUGUAAAGCACUUUAAGUUGGGAGGAAGGGUAGUAACCUAAUACGUUGCUACUUUGACGUUACCGACAGAAUAAGCACCGGCUAACUUCGUG
rnacentral:rRNA from 1 species